GUAGUACUCUCUCCGUUCCGAAUUACUUGUCUCACGUAUGGAUGUAUCUAGAUGUAUUUUAAUUCUAGAUACGUCCAUUUCAGCGAUGAGUAAUUUGAAACGGAGGAGUAAAAU
rnacentral:pre_miRNA from 1 species